UAACUUUGCACUGCAAACGGUUUCCGGGCGAAAUGCUUUGUCCGGAAUGAAAAGGGAAUCCCGUGUAAAUCGGGAACUAUACCCGUAGCUGUAUGCUCCACUUUCAGUUAGCAGUUAAUAGUCAUCAGUUAACAGCCUAUCUGAAACAACGUUUUGAACAACACUUUUGCCACUGAAUACAAUCUAUAGUAAUCAGUUUGCCGUCAACAGUUAGCUACUUCGUUUGCUCACUGAUAACUGGUCACUGAUAACUGAUUUUCGGGAAGGCGUUCAAUAACGGGAGCGAGUCAGAAGACCUGCCGCGCGCAACAACAAAUC
rnacentral:ncRNA from 2 species